UCAUAAAGUCUCACUCGAGCUUAACGUGAUUCAGCACAGCAGCGAGGCAGAGAGGGGAGGAGGCUAAACGUGAGUCAGCAGCCUCGGCUCCACACGGCAGAGCAGAACUCCGUGACCGACAACAAAGGCCGAACAAAAUGACUCCCUGAAGAAGAACAUUCAGCAUACUGGUAGCAGUGGAACAGAUGAUGAGCUUUGUGGAGCAGACUCUUCUGGUUUCCUCCAUGCACAUCCAGUCUGUGUGUCACAGGACAGUUGGACAGUGAGGGGAGAAGAGG